UAGGGAAUCUUCCGCAAUGGACGCAAGUCUGACGGAGCAACGCCGCGUGAGUGAAGAAGGAUUUCGGUUCGUAAAACUCUGUUGUUAGAGAAGAACAGCGCAUAGAGUAACUGUUAUGCGUGUGACGGUAUCUAACCAGAAAGCCACGGCUAACUACGUGCCAGCAGCCGCGGUAAUACGUAGGUGGCAAGCGUUGUCCGGAUUUAUUGGGCGUAAAGCGAGCGCAGGCGGUCAAUUAAGUCUGAUGUGAAAGCCCCCGGCUCAACCGGGGAGGGUCAUUGGAAACUGGUUGACUUGAGUGCAGAAGAGGAGGGUGGAAUUCCAUGUGUAGCGAUGAAAUGCGUAGAUAUAUGGAGGAACACCGGUGGCGAAAGCGGCUCUCUGGUCUGUAACUGACGCUGAGGCUCGAAAGCGUGGGGAGCGAACAGG
rnacentral:rRNA from 1 species